UCAUAUAAAAUAUCUGCGCAACAACAGUAUAACGACAUCGAAUUGUCAUUAGAGAAUAGGUCUACAGAAUGCCUUAAACAAACCUUAAAUAAAUGAUUAAUUUCAAAACGGAAAAAGACAGAAUUCUUUUUCACUAUUCAGUGCUACGAACAUAAAAGUUUAAAAAAUUGGCAGCCAUGAUGCAGAACACAGUCCGACUCUGCUUCGUAGCUGUGUCGAAAUGUGUGUUGUGUUGUGUCGUAACAGAAAAGCACGUAUAGCGACACUGUGUUACACUGUGUCAACUGUGUCGCUUGCUGGAAAGCUCCCAAUGUUUACGCUGUAAUUUUGUGUGUUGUGUAAUUUAAAUAUAUGCGAAAUGAUCAAUGUCUCCUGGUUAAUAAUGUCAAUCGCUUUGUUAUCGACUGAUAUAUCGAUAAUACGGAGAUAUCUAUGAAAGAGUUAUCGAUAACUACUCAUCGAUUUUACCGUGCUUCAGCAGAGCGUGAUUACGCGUCAAUCUAAUCGACAUGUCGACGAAAGAGAGAAAAUUUUGCAACGCAUAAAUGUAAUUCUCGAAAUAACGAACGAAAAAUGAAGGCGAGACAUUACAAUGUGCAAAGUUAAAUCAGGUUUUUAUCGGUACAUAUCAACAAAGAUUCCAGACUGUUGUAGGUUGAUCUAGAGAAUUAAUAAAAUAUAAAGCAGAGAAAGGACUUCAUUCUUCAAGCCUGAUUCAACUGUGUCCUUACACAACUCGGAGCCAGGUCGAUAAAUGCGAUUUUCCAAUCGUGUC
rnacentral:lncRNA from 1 species